GAAGAGAGUGUGGCUGAGGCAGGGGACCGAUCCAGGAGAGGGGACCAGUGAUUUAUGGGGUGUGAUGCCACCCACAAGGCAGAAGCCAGGGGAGAGGGAGAGUCAAGGCAGUCUGAGGUGGAGGAAAAAGCGACAGGUAUGCAACAGUGCGCUACUUACCAGGAAGACAGCAUAGUGAUUCCACCCCACCUGACAAGCCACUUCUGAUACACACAUUUAAACACUCACCAAGGCUUCUUAUUUGAGGUCCCGACACAAAUGUGCUGAGCAGGGACUGUUCGCCACUUCUUUGCCUCGACAACAAGAGCUUCUGCAUCCACCAGGCCGAAUCCAUACAAAUGGCUAACUGAAAAGACAGGCCAGACAAAUAAAAUGAUUUGGGCCACUGAACUGACACAACAGUUGAUAUAUGACUCAGCCCACCUAUUAACCUGUGAGGACUGGAAUGGAGAUCACAUCUGCAACAUGUGUCCAAAUCAGACUUUGGUAAUGUAUUUUAUAUUAAAGAAGUUAACCAGUAUCUGUGAUAAAACCUAAGCAUUUUCAGUUUGACUGUAAAACUGCAAAGGAAAACUAGUGUUGUUAUCUGAUGCACUCU